CUAGAUGGGAAAGCGCCAGCACUGCAGCUGCCCGACGUGGAGUGCAGUGGACGAGGUGGAGGUUUAUCGAAGCAUUCGGCGGAUGCCUCCCGGCCGAGUAUCGCGGCCGCGGAGCGCGGGGGCAAAACAACAGGGCGACUUGUUGCACAAGACCCGCGCAUGAUACAGA
rnacentral:ncRNA from 2 species